AGAACCCGAGUAAACCAUUAUAUAGCUCUGUCAACGCUAAGUUAUAGGCUACAACCCUAUGAGUUCUA
rnacentral:tRNA from 1 species